rnacentral:lncRNA from 1 species
UGUGUUUUUUUUUGUCGAUUGUGUUCUCCAAUUUAUUUAUAUUGUAGUCCUGUGGUGUUGAGUUGUCAUUUUAAUGUUAUAUUUCACAUGGCUAUAAAAGAGGGAGGUUUGGCAUGCCACAAAACCAGGUUCAACCCACCAUUUUUUCCUGUUAAAAAUGUCCUGUACCAAGUCAGGAAUAUGGCCAUUGUUAUAUUAUAGUUCGUUUCUGUGUGUGUUACAUUUUAACGUUGCGUCGUUUGUUUUCUCUUAUUUUUGAGUGUAAAUUCACAUUGCGAUAAGACGUGUCACGGUACUUGUCUAUCCCAAAUUCACGUAUUUGGUUUUGAUGUUAUAUUUGUUAUUCUCGGGGGAUUUUUUCUGAUGCUUGGUCCGUUUCUGUGUGUGUUACAUUGUAGUGUUGUGUCGUUGUUCUCCUGUUAUAUUUAAUACGUUUUCCUCAGUUUUAGUUUGUUACACCGAUUUUGUUUUUUGUCCAUGGAUUUAUGAGUUUGAACAGCGGUAUACUACUGUUGCCUUUAUUUGGCCCUUCGGGCCAGGUGAGCUAAUAAUGGUGUGACCCCUUCCUGUAACAAAACAGAU